UAGGUCCAUGCGGACAGGUCGAUCUCACUGUCUUGCUUUGGGCUCUGAUCAUUUUGUAGGCGCAUUUCCCUGCGGCUUUGUGGUGUUUUGUUGGUUUCAUUUCUUGUCUGAAAGUGUCACCAUCCAGACACUGGCAUCGAGGACUCUGUGGUUUUUGUUUCAUCCCUGCAUGUGGAAGGGAGGACUGGUGUGAAGUUGUGCGUCGUUUACAGGCUUGAUAGGCAAGCCUCUGAAUCUCGAUUACGAGAUGCAAACAGGCAGCCCUCUCAGAGUUGCAUUCAUUUCUCGACAUGUGGGCACACACUUACUGUCAGUGACUCACCUUGGAAGCUUUGUUUGUGGUGAUUCCAAACCAUGGAUUCUCCUUCUUUUCUCAUUCCGUUCACUCCUUGGCAAAGGAGGAGCAUUUGCUGGGCUAUGGAAUGAGAAAUAAAAAUGAACUUAAUCAUUUCAGGAAUUCUUUUAAAAUAAACCAUAAAAGAUCACACUUGUUUAAUUAUCACAAAUGCAUCUUUUACCCCUUUAAAAACUGCAUUUAUUUGAUAUGAAUAAGUUAGAUGGUGGCCAGCAUCGGUUCAGAAUAAUGUAAUCAUAUAUGAUGGUAAAGUUUCUUACUAUAAAUCUUUUAUAAAAUAUCUGUAAAGUAAAAAGCAUGUUCUGAAAUAUUUAAAUGCAACUGUUAUUUUUCCUCUUAACAAUAUAUAUAAAUGAAAGCCUGGUAAAUUAAAUAGGAUGUUGCAAAUGCCUUUAUUGUUUUAGCUUUCUGCUGAAAAAGUCAAAUUUUAAAGCUAAAGUAACAUUGUUUUCUUUUAUUGCUUUUCUCCUUUUUCUCUGUUGUCUUUCUGCUUGGCUGGGGGAGAAAAGUGUAGGUGGCCUUAUUUUGAGCCAGCUGGCCUCCAGUGUGCAGGGAGAGGUUUGGUGGGAUCUUAGCCCCCUCCCAACCGCCGCUUCAGCAAGUGUGACAUUUCCCAGCGGAUUGCAUGUGCCCGUCUGCAGCCGGAAUCCCUCUAAAAAACACUUCAGGUGUUCACAAACCAGACUGGGGGGGUGGGUGUCUCUGAAAUAAUUAAGACGAACGCCUUUACUGCAAUCUCCUAUUCAGCACUGCCAAAUAAAGACAGUAUUGAGCUCCAAACAAAGAGCAGCGUCAACUUUAUUCCAACCCACUUGGGGGAUGUUUAAGGCGCUCCAGCACAGUUUUAUGCAUAAUGCACGGCCAUAAACCAUCCAGGAGUUAAGAGGGAGAUGUGUAAUUUACUAAGGCCUCAUGCUGUGCCACUGCUAUAAAGGGAGGAGAUAAUUACCACAAAUCCGUGGCAAACUUUUAUUUAACCAAUUUCUUCAAAAAAAGUGACCCACUUUGAGAGGGAGCUGAUCAAUAUGACCCCGUCUGAAACGACUCAGGCUACCUUAUCACACUGAAGGCUGUGCACAGCUUAAUCCUCCUGAUCUCCAUUCAGGCUGUAUAAUUAAACGUUGGUUUCUUUGUUACAGAAACAAUCCCAAUCCAGUUUAACCACUGCGCAUUUAAUAAAAAAGAAUGAAAAGAAAAAAGGUUUGAAUCCUGUCUCUGCCAUAUCAUUGCCUAUACAGUCGGUGCACCAUAGGUCAGUGAAUAGAAGUGCCCACUGACAAAAGCCUGAGGCCCGGAGGUUGCCUCACUUUCCACCCCCCCCUCCCUCUUCUUCUCUUCAUAAACUGCACACUUUUUGUCUCGUUUCACAGCAAAUUUCUGCCAACUUCAGUGUUCAUUGUCAGCAAAGAUGAGUGCAGAGUUUUGUUCUGAGAGGCAUGAUGCAACCGCGCUGUAACACCAAACAGAUAAUGCUGUUAGCUACAGAGGUCUUUUUAGUUCCUUUCUUUAAAAGAUUUUCUUUUCAUAUUGUUAAGUUUCACUUUUUUUUAACUCCAUGCA